GAUGAACGCUAGCGAUAGGCUUAACACAUGCAAGUCGAGGGGCAGCACGGAAUAGCAAUAUUUUGGUGGCGACCGGCGCACGGGUGAGUAACACGUAUGCAAUCUACCCAUAACUGUGGAAUAACCCGUCGAAAGGCGGCCUAAUACCACAUAACAACAGUUGACCGCAUGGUUGACUGUUUAAAGAUUUAUCGGUUAUGGAUGGGCAUGCGUUCCAUUAGGUAGUUGGCGGGGCAACGGCCCACCAAGCCUGCGAUGGAUAGGGGUUCUGAGAGGAAGGUCGCCCACACUGGUACUGAGACACGGACCAGACUCCUACGGGAGGCAGCAGUAAGGAAUAUUGGUCAAUGGGCGAGAGCCUGAACCAGCCAAAUCGCGUGAAGGAUGAAGGUAUUAUGUAUUGUACACUUCUUUUACAGGGGAAUAAAGUGCGGGACGUGUCCCGUUUUGUAUGUACCCUGGGAAUAAGGAUCGGCUAACUCCGUGCCAGCAGCCGCCGCGG
rnacentral:rRNA from 1 species